UUCGAUUCCUACGGGAGGCAGCAGUGGGGAAUUUUGGACAAUGGGGGCAACCCUGAUCCAGCCAUGCCGCGUGCGGGAAGAAGGCCUUCGGGUUGUAAACCGCUUUUGUCAGGGAAGAAAUCCCUUGAGCUAAUACCUCGAGGGGAUGACGGUAUGAAGAAUAAGCACCGGCUAACUACGUGCCAGCAGCCGCGGUAAUACGUAGGGUGCAAGCGUUAAUCGGAAUUACUGGGCGUAAAGCGUGCGCAGGCGGUUGUGCAAGACAGAUGUGAAAUCCCCGGGCUCAACCUGGGAACUGCAUUUGUGACUGCACGGCUGGAGUGCGGCAGAGGGGGAUGGAAUUCCGCGUGUAGCAGUGAAAUGCGUAGAUAUGCGGAGGAACACCGAUGGCGAAGGCAAUCCCCUGGGCCUGCACUGACGCUCAUGCACGAAAGCGUGGGGAGCAAACAGGAUUAGAUACCCUGGUAGUCCACGCCCUAAACGAUGUCAACUGGUUGUUGGGAAGGUUCCUUCUCAGUAACGUAGCUAACGCGUGAAGUUGACCGCCUGGGGAGUACGGCCGCAAGGUUGAAACUCAAAGGAAUUGACGGGGACUCGCACAAGCGGUGGAUGAUGUGGUUUAAUUCGAUGCAACGCGAAACCUUACCUACCCUUGACAUGCCUGGAAUCCUGCAGAGAUGUGGGAGUGCCCGAAAGGGAGCCAGGACACAGGUGCUGCAUGGCCGUCGUCAGCUCGUGUCGUGAGAUGUUGGGUUAAGUCCCGCAACGAGCGCAACCCUUGUCAUUAGUUGCUACGAAAGGGCACUCUAAUGAGACUGCCGGUGACAAACCGGAGGAAGGUGGGGAUGACGUCAGGUCCUCAUGGCCCUUAUGGGUAGGGCUACACACGUCAUACAAUGGCCGGUACAAAGGGCUGCCAACCCGCGAGGGGGAGCUAAUCCCAGAAAACCGGUCGUAGUCCGGAUCGCAGUCUGCAACUCGACUGCGUGAAGUCGGAAUCGCUAGUAAUCGCGGAUCAGCUUGCCGCGGUGAAUACGUUCCCGGGCCUUGUACACAC
rnacentral:rRNA from 1 species